AUUGCGCAACAAACCAAUAAAAGGGGUUUUGAUUUGUUUUUGCCGGACUUCAUGAAAAAUAGCGUCAUUUUCAGCUUUAUUUUUUGGAACAGCAAGAUCUCCCCCUUUCUUUUGACAACUUUUUCUGGCUUCAUCCCAUGUUUUUUGCGUUGAUACCACUGCUU